UACGGGGGGUGCGAGCGUUGUCCGGAAUCACUGGGCGUAAAGGGCGCGUAGGUGGCAUGAUAAGGGUGUGGUGAAAGCCCGGGGCUCAACCCCGGGUCUGCCAUGCCGACUGUCACGCUAGAGUACUGUAGGGGCAGGCGGAAUUCCGGGUGUAGCGGUGGAAUGCGCAGAUAUCAGGGGGAACACCGGUGGCGAAGGCGGAUCUCUGGGCCUUACCGUGACGCUGAGACGCGAAAGCUAGGGGAGCGAACAGG
rnacentral:rRNA from 1 species